rnacentral:rRNA from 1 species
UACGUAGGUGGCGAGCGUUGUCCGGAUUUACUGGGCGUAAAGAGCGCGCAGGCGGUCGUCCAAGUCGCGUGUGAAAGCCCCCGGCUCAACUGGGGAGGGUCACGCGAUACUGAUCGACUCGAAGGCAGGAGAGGGAAGCGGAAUUCCCGGUGUAGUGGUGAAAUGCGUAGAUAUCGGGAGGAACACCAGUGGCGAAGGCGGCUUCCUGGCCUGUUCCUGACGCUGAGGCGCGAAAGCUAGGGUAGCAAACGGG